GACAGAGGGGGCAAGCGUUGCUCGGAAUUACUGGGCGUAAAGGGCGCGUAGGCGGGAUGGCAAGUCGGUCGUGAAAUCCCUCGGCUCAACUGAGGAUCGUCGAUCGAUACUGCCGUUCUUGAGGAUUGCAGAGGAGACUGGAAUUCCCGGUGUAGCGGUGAAAUGUGUAGAGAUCGGGAGGAACACCGGUGGCGAAGGCGGCAUCCUGGACCGGUAUUGACGCUGAGGCGCGAAAGCCAGGGGAGCAAACGGG
rnacentral:rRNA from 1 species